rnacentral:misc_RNA from 1 species
GAGUGGUGUUUGGUUUGUUACGUGUGGUUGGCUGCGGCGUUUGCAACAACUUCCAUGCUUUCAGACCUCUUCAGUUGUGCGGCAAGGCUUGUAUCGCCUUGAGCGUAUUGUGGGUUUUCUGUGUUGGCUACCUAAUCAAUGGUAUCGGUUGGAUUGAUCAAUGUUUCAUUUCGUCUACCGUCGCAUUCGCGGCGUGAGAUGAACCUUGAUGCGGUCUCUUUGAUCCACCUCGUCGAAGCGCAUGCUUUGGCGUUGUGGCACAUUGAGCAUUGCUUGGUCUCUUGUAUACGGAACAUAUAGUGGGCAUGGAUCUAACGAUUCUCGUUUGCCCUCAUAUUAGCGUAACGCUUCUCUUACACGACUGCUCCACGUUUAGCUCA